rnacentral:lncRNA from 10 species
AUACUUGAUUUGUUUCUUGUAACUGAUUUCUCUAGUACAGAACCUGCUAAGGCCAUCAAACCUAUUGAUCGGAAGUCAGUCCAUCAGAUUUGCUCUGGGCAGGUGGUACUGAGUCUAAGCACUGCGGUAAAGGAGUUAGUAGAAAACAGUCUGGAUGCUGGUGCCACUAAUAUUGAUCUAAAGCUUAAGGACUAUGGAGUGGAUCUUAUUGAAGUUUCAGACAAUGGAUGUGGGGUAGAAGAAGAAAACUUCGAAGGCUUAAGUAAGUUGACUUUUUCUAAUCCUAUUAUAAAAUAAUUGGGUCACAUGUCUCAGAAUUUUGAGUAACACUGUCUUGGGAAAUGCAAAAACAGUUUUUUAAAGCCAGUUACUAGAUAUCAUGUAUAUUUUGUUGUUAUAGCACUUGAGAUAUCUUAGUCCUUACUUUACACUCUCUUUCAGCUCUGAAACAUCACACAUCUAAGAUUCAAGAGUUUGCCGACCUAACUCAGGUUGAAACUUUUGGCUUUCGGGGGGAAGCUCUGAGCUCACUUUGUGCACUGAGGUGAUACAAUAUUUUUAUCCACUCACUUGACCCCUUAGAGAAACCUCUCUGAAAAUUAAUUGGAAUCAUUAUUAUUUUCAGUUUUCUAUCUCAACAUCUCAACUUCUAGCUUCUGAAUUCUGUUUUGUCUCGCUGCCAAUCUAAGUCAUAGUACUUCUGAAAUGUGAGCAAUAAAUGAAUGAAAUGAAGCAAAUAGUAUUGUUAAAAAGAUGGUUACCCUUAUUAAAACAGUAAUUCUCAAUUUUAACCUAACAUGUAGAUAAUAAAUGAUAGUUACCAUUGGUUUUCAUUAUCAAUUUUUAGGGAAACAUUUCACCAAAGCACUAUUUAAUUAUAGCACAGAUAUGAAAUUUUUAUAAAUAAUUAUAUAUAUAUAUAUA